rfam:Picea glauca, whole genome shotgun sequence.
ACAUGCUUACAACAUAGAUUUAAUGCACCAGAUCCCAUUAGAACUCCAUAGUUAAGCGCACUUGGGCUAGAGUAGUACCGGGAUGGGUGAUCGCUCGAGAAGUCCUAGUGUUUUACAUGCC